rnacentral:rRNA from 1 species
GACGUAGGGCGCGAGCGUUGUCCGGAUUUAUUGGGCGUAAAGAGCUCGUAGGCGGCUUGUCGCGUCGACUGUGAAAAACCCGCGGCUCAACCGCGGGGCCUGCAGCCCGAUACGGGCAGGCUAGAGUUCGGUAGGGGGAGGACUGGAAUUCCUGGUGUAGCGGUGAAAAUGCGCAGAUAUCAGGAGGAACACCGAUGGCGAAGGCAGGUCUCUGGGCCGAUACUGACGCUGAGACGCGAAAGCGUGGGGGAGCAAACAGG